UACGUAGGGUGCAAGCGUUAAUCGGAAUUACUGGGCGUAAAGCGUGCGCAGGCGGUUGUGUAAGUCAGAUGUGAAAUCCCCGGGCUUAACCUGGGAACUGCGUUUGAAACUACAAGGCUAGAGUGUGGCAGAGGGGGGUGGAAUUCCACGUGUAGCAGUGAAAUGCGUAGAGAUGUGGAGGAACACCGAUGGCGAAGGCAGCCCCCUGGGUUAACACUGACGCUCAGGCACGAAAGCGUGGGGAGCAAACAGG
rnacentral:rRNA from 1 species